UGGGGAAUCUUCGGCAAUGGACGAAAGUCUGACCGAGCAACGCCGCGGGAGGGAAGAAGGUUUUCGGAUCGUAAAACUCUGUUGUUAGAGAAGAACAAGGACGUUAGUAACUGAACGUCCCCUGACGGUAUCUAACCAGAAAGCCACGGCUAACUACGUGCCAGCAGCCGCGGUAAUACGUAGGUGGCAAGCGUUGUCCGGAUUUAUUGGGCGUAAAGCGAGCGCAGGCGGUUUCUUAAGUCUGAUGUGAAAGCCCCCGGCUCAACCGGGGAGGGUCCUUGGAAACUUGGAGACUUGAGUGCAGUAGAGGAGAGUGGAAUUCCAUGUGUAGCGGUGAAAUGCGUCGAUAUAUGGGGUAACACCAUUGGCGAAGGCGGCUCUCUGGUCUGUAACUGACGCUGAGGCUCGAAAGCGUGGAGAGCAAACAGG
rnacentral:rRNA from 1 species